UAGCCUAAUGGUUAAGGCUAUGGAUUGCCAAUCCGGAGACGGCGGGUUCGAUUCCCGU
rnacentral:tRNA from 1 species